rnacentral:rRNA from 1 species
GCAGGCGCGCAAAUUACCCACUCCCGGCACGGGGAGGUAGUGACGAAAAAUAACGAUACGGGACUCAUCCGAGGCCCCGUAAUCGGAAUGAGAACAAUUUAAAUCCUUUAACGAGGAUCAAUUGGAGGGCAAGUCUGGUGCCAGCAGCCGCGGUAAUUCCAGCUCCAAUAGCGUAUAUUAAAGUUGUUGCGGUUAAAAAGCUCGUAGUCGAAUCUGUGUCCCGCGCCGCCGGUUCGUCGCUCGCGGCGUUUAACUGGCGUGUCCGCGGGACGUCCUGCCGGUGGGCUUAGCCUUUUUAGUUGGGCGGCCCAAUCUUAAUCCCGCCGCGGUGCUCUUCACCGAGUGUCGAGGCGGGCCGGCACGUUUACUUUGAACAAAUUAGAGUGCUUAAAGCAGGCUAAAACUUCGCCUGAAUACUUCGUGCAUGGAAUAAUGGAAUAGGACCUCGGUUCUAUUUUGUUGGUUUUCGGAACCCCGAGGUAAUGAUUAAUAGGAACGGAUGGGGGCAUUCGUAUUGCGACGUUAGAGGUGAAAUUCUUGGAUCGUCGCAAGACGGACAGAAGCGAAAGCAUUUGCCAAAAACGUUUUCAUUGAUCAAGAACGAAAGUUAGAGGUUCGAAGGCGAUCAGAUACCGCCCUAGUUCUAACCAUAAACGAUGCCAGCUAGCGAUCCGCCGACGUUCCUCCNAUGACUCGGCGGGCAGCUUCCGGGAAACCAAAGCUUUUGGGUUCCGGGGGAAGUAUGGUUGCAAAGCUGAAACUUAAAGGAAUUGACGGAAGGGCACCACCAGGAGUGGAGCCUGCGGCUUAAUUUGACUCAACACGGGAAACCUCACCAGGCCCGGACACCGGAAGGAUUGACAGAUUGAGAGCUCUUUCUUGAUUCGGUGGGUGGUGGUGCAUGGCCGUUCUUAGUUGGUGGAGCGAUUUGUCUGGUUAAUUCCGAUAACGAACGAGACUC